GUGUUCGCUUCGGCAGCACAUAUACUAAAAUUGGAAUGAUACAGAGAAGAUUAGCAUGGCCUCUGCGCAAGGAUGACACGCAAAUUUAUGAAGUGUUCCAUAUUUUU
ensembl:snRNA U6 U6 spliceosomal RNA